rnacentral:rRNA from 1 species
UGCCGUAACUUCGGGAGAAGGCACGCUGACACGUAGGUGAAGUGAUUUACUCAUGGAGCUGAAGUCAGUCGAAGAUACCAGCUGGCUGCAACUGUUUAUUAAAAACACAGCACUGUGCAAACACGAAAGUGGACGUAUACGGUGUGACGCCUGCCCGGUGCCGGAAGGUUAAUUGAUGGGGUCAGCGCAAGCGAAGCUCCUGAUCGAAGCCCCGGUAAACGGCGGCCGUAACUAUAACGGUCCUAAGGUAGCGAAAUUCCUUGUCGGGUAAGUUCCGACCUGCACGAAUGGCGUAAUGAUGGCCAGGCUGUCUCCACCCGAGACUCAGUGAAAUUGAACUCGCUGUGAAGAUGCAGUGUACCCGCGGCAAGACGGAAAGACCCCGUGAACCUUUACUAUAGCUUGACACUGAACAUUGAGCCUUGAUGUGUAGGAUAGGUGGGAGGCUUUGAAGUGUGGACGCCAGUCUGCAUGGAGCCGACCUUGAAAUACCACCCUUUAAUGUUUGAUGUUCUAACGUGGACCCGUAAUCCGGGUUGCGGACAGUGUCUGGUGGGUAGUUUGACUGGGGCGGUCUCCUCCUAAAGAGUAACGGAGGAGCACGAAGGUUGGCUAAUCCUGGUCGGACAUCAGGAGGUUAGUGCAAUGGCAUAAGCCAGCUUGACUGCGAGCGUGACGGCGCGAGCAGGUGCGAAAGCAGGUCAUAGUGAUCCGGUGGUUCUGAAUGGAAGGGCCAUCGCUCAACGGAUAAAAGGUACUCCGGGGAUAACAGGCUGAUACCGCCCAAGAGUUCAUAUCGACGGCGGUGUUUGGCACCUCGAUGUCGGCUCAUCACAUCCUGGGGCUGAAGUAGGUCCCAAGGGUAUGGCUGUUCGCCAUUUAAAGUGGUACGCGAGCUGGGUUUAGAACGUCGUGAGACAGUUCGGUCCCUAUCUGCCGUGGGCGCUGGAGAACUGAGGGGGGCUGCUCCUAGUACGAGAGGACCGGAGUGGACGCAUCACUGGUGUUCGGGUUGUCAUGCCAAUGGCACUGCCCGGUAGCUAAAUGCGGAAGAGAUAAGUGCUGAAAGCAUCUAAGCACGAAACUUGCCCCGAGAUGAGUUCUCCCUGAGACUUAGAGUCUCCUGAAGGAACGUUGAAGACGACGACGUUGAUAGGCCGGGUGUGUAAGCGCAGCGAUGCGUUGAGCUAACCGGUACUAAUGAACCGUGAGGCUUAACCUU